AAGAAAAGAAAAAGAUGAUUUAGAUAUUGAAUUGAGGUUAGGGUUUCUGGAAUUAGGGUUCUUGUAGAACUGAUGAUGAUAAAGUGACAUUCUUGGAUGAAGAGAAGAGGGGUUGUUGUUGAUUUGAUGAAAUGAAGCUAUUCUGAUGCUGAAUCGAAAUCAGGUGAUUGCGGAAGUAGCAGAAGCGUCGAUUGAAGAUUAUGAGACUGGCAUGCAAGGUUGCAAUGAAGCUGCAAAGAUAUGGAUGCAGGCUUGAAGGUUCUUCUAAUAGGGGUCUUUACCUCGAGGUACUUUACUCCGUUGAUUAUGAUUCAUUAACAUC